UACGGAGGAUCCGAGCGUUAUCCGGAUUUAUUGGGUUUAAAGGGCGCGUAGGCGGGCGGUCAAGUCGGGGGUGAAAUCUUUCAGCUCAACUGGAAAAGUGCCUCCGAUACUGAUUGUCUUGAGUGAGGUAGGGGCAUGUGGAACUUCCGGUGGAGCGGUGAAAUGCGUAGAGAUCGGAAGGAACGCCGGUGGCGAAAGCGACGUGCUGGACCUCUUCUGACGCUGAGGCGCGAAAGCGUGGGGAGCAAACAGG
rnacentral:rRNA from 1 species